rnacentral:sRNA from 1 species
UUCUAGCUCCGAUAGAAUCGUAAAUCCUAUUGCGUCGUGGUUCGGCGCAAAAGAUUGCAGCGGAUAGCGGGAUAAAGC